GAUGAACGCUGGCGGCGUGCCUAAUACAUGCAAGUCGAGCGAACAGACGAGGAGCUUGCUCCUCUGACGUUAGCGGCGGACAGGUGAGUAACACGUGGAUAACCUACCUAUAAGACUGGGAUAACUUCGGGAAACCGGAGCUAAUACCGGAUAAUAUAUUGAACCGCAUGGUUCAAUAGUGAAAGACGGUUUUGCUGUCACUUAUAGAUGGAUCCGCGCCGCAUUAGCUAGUUGGUAAGGUAACGGCUUACCAAGGCAACGAUGCGUAGCCGACCUGAGAGGGUGAGCGGCCACACUGGAACUGAGACACGGUCCAGACUCCUACGGGAGGCAGCAGUAGGGAAGCUUCCGCAAUGGGCGAAAGCCUGACGGAGCAACGCCGCGUGAGUGAUGAAGGUCUUCGGAUCGUAAAACUCUGUUAUUAGGGAGGAACAAAUGUGUAAGUAACUAUGCACGUCUUGACGGUACCUAAUCAGAAAGCCACGGCUAACUACGUG
rnacentral:rRNA from 1 species